rnacentral:RNase_P_RNA from 1 species
GCUACCAACCGGGUCAUCGCUCGCGCCGCAAGGCGGGGGAGGAAAGUCCGGACAGCGCAGGGCAAUGCACCGGUUAAGAGCCGGGGGGCGCGGAAGCGUUCACAGAGAGUGCCACAGAAAAUAACUGCCGAAUUAUCGUUGUGGCAGCCGGGUUCGCCUGGGAGCCUACGGUAAGGUAAAGUUGAAAACGUGGGGUAAGAGCCCACGGCCCCGUCAAGUAAUUGCCGGGGCGGGUAAACCUUGCAUGCUGUAAUGCCAUGUAGGUUCCGGUUUCCCGGUCGGACAGCCUCGUGCUGAACGGUCGGGAAGGUUAGCUGCCCGCUAGCAACGUCCGGGACGGGUAGGCAGCCAGAUCUCUGCAGUAAUGCAGGGGCCAGAUAAAUGAUGACCGCCCGCCGCGCAAGCGGCGGGAACAGGAUCCGGCUUACAGGUUGGUAGUAAUU